rnacentral:rRNA from 1 species
UACGAAGGGGGCUAGCGUUGCUCGGAAUUACUGGGCGUAAGGGCGCGUAGGCGGAUUUCUAAGUUGGGGGUGAAAUCCCGGGGCUCAACCUCGGAAUUGCCUUCAAAACUGGAUAUCUUGAGUUCGGGAGAGGUGAGUGGAACUCCGAGUGUAGAGGUGAAAUUCGUAGAUAUUCGGAAGAACACCAGUGGCGAAGGCGACUCACUGGCCCGAUACUGACGCUGAGGCGCGAAAGCGUGGGGAGCAAACAGG